UACGAAGGGGGCUAGCGUUGUUCGGAAUUACUGGGCGUAAAGGGUGCGUAGGUGGUUUGUUAAGUCUGCUGUGAAAUCCCCGGGCUCAACCUGGGAAUGGCAGUGGAUACUGGCAAGCUAGAGUGCGGUAGAGGGUAGUGGAAUUCCCGGUGUAGCAGUGAAAUGCGUAGAUAUCAGGAGGAACGCCGAUGGCGAAGGCAGGUCUCUGGACAGUUCCUGACGCUCAUGCACGAAGGCCAGGGGAGCAAACGGG
rnacentral:rRNA from 1 species